rnacentral:rRNA from 1 species
CACCAGACUCCUACGGGAGGCAGCAGUGGGGGAUAUUGCACAAUGGGGGGAACCCUGAUGCAGCGACGCCGCGUGGGUGAAGGAGCGUUUCGGCGCGUAAAGCCCUAUCGGCAGGGAAGAAGGAGGACGGUACCUGACUAAGAAGCCCCGGCUAACUACGUGCCAGCAGCCGCGGGAAUACGUAGGGGGCGAGCGUUAUCCGGAUUCACUGGGUGUAAAGGGAGCGUAGACGGCCAUGCAAGCCAGGGGUGGAAGCCCGGGGCCCAACCCCGGGACUGCCCUUGGAACUGCAUGGCUGGAGUGCGGGAGGGGCAGGCGGAAUUCCUGGUGUAGCGGUGAAAUGCGUAGAUAUCAGGAGGAACACCAGUGGCGAAGGCGACUUUCUGGACUGUACCUGACGCUGAGGCGCGAAAGCGUGGGUAGCGAACGGGAUUAGAUACCCUCGUAU